CCCAACCAGUCUGUCUUUGUUAGUACAAGGUCUACCAGAACACAUUUCCUUGUUGGCUCCUUAUAAGAGACUGAGAAGCAAAAGGGUUAACAUCCCCAAUACUCAGUGGAAGAGUAAAAUAUCACCACAGUAACUAGAUGAAGAAUGGUUGAAGGAGGGGGACUUGUGAGGGCAAGACAAGGCUUUUCUGGGCUGAUUUCUCACGUAAUGUGAUGACAUGCAGACCCACUGAAUUACAACAGGCAAACUUAGUGGGGAAGGAAAGAUCUCACAAACUACACCUGUGUGCCAAAGAGUGUCAAGCAGCAGUCUUUGGGGCAGAGUGAGAGUGAAAUCCUCUGAAGACCUUCCAAUUCACUUCCAAAAUAUUCUAAAUCUCAAAGCAUUCUCAAGCAGGGAGCAACCAUAUGCAGUACUACUACUACUACUACUGAAGAAAUCACAGCUGCAUUCUAUGAGAACUGUUUUCUUAGACAUGAGCAUGUCUCUGUGCAAAGUUUUGAAGAUAACUUAUUGAACAAAAUCACUUGGAAAUGAAUAAGACCUUCUUCUUGUUAAAGG
rnacentral:lncRNA from 1 species